rnacentral:rRNA from 1 species
CCUACGGGCGGCAGCAGUGGGGAAUAUUGCGCAAUGGGCGAAAGCCUGACGCAGCGACGCCGCGUGAGGGAUGAAGGUCUUCGGAUCGUAAACCUCUGUCAGCAGGGAAGAACGGUCACUGUGCUAAUCAGCAGUGAAUUGACGGUACCUGCAAAGGAAGCACCGGCUAACUCCGUGCCAGCAGCCGCGGUAAUACGGGGGGUGCGAGCGUUCAUCGGAAUUACUGGGCGUAAAGCGCUCGUAGGCGGUAUGUCAAGUCAAGGGUGAAAUCCCCGCGCUCAACGUGGGAACUGCCUUUGAAACUGGCAGACUGGAGUGUGUGAGAGGAUAGUGGAAUUCCAGGUGGAGGAGUGAAAUCCGUAGAUAUCUGGAGGAACAUCAGUGGCGAAGGCGACUAUCUGGCACAUAACUGACGCUGAGGAGCGAAAGCGUGGGUAGCAAACAGGAUUAGAUACCCCUGUAGUG